UACGUAGGGCGCAAGCGUUAUCCGGAAUUAUUGGCGUAAGAGCUCGUAGGCGGUUUGUCGCGUCUGCCGUGAAAGUCCGGGGCUCAACUCCGGAUCUGCGGUGGGUACGGGCAGACUAGAGUGAUGUAGGGGAGACUGGAAUUCCUGGUGUAGCGGUGAAAUGCGCAGAUAUCUGGAAGAACACCCGUGGCUAAGGCGGCUCUCUAGUACGGUACUGACGCUGAGACGCGAAAGCGUGGGGAGCGAACGAG
rnacentral:rRNA from 1 species